AUGCAACAUCUCCUCGCGUGCUAUUCGUUCUCUAGGCAAAUUUGUCAUGAAAUACUCGGUUGGGUGCGAGCACCAACUACCCUUCCUAAUGGCGACACCCCCUUCCAAGCAUGGUGGUUAGCUUCGUCCGACCAAGCAGUAGCCUCCGCUCGCAAAGGCCUCGCAUCCAUCAUCAUCCUCGCUGCAUGGUGGAUUUGUAAACAUCGUAACAGAUGUGUCUUUGACCAUGAUCGGCCAUCAGUCUCUCAGCUUACCACCACCAUCAAAGACGAGGUGUGCCUUUGGGCCAAGGCCGACGCCGCAGGGAUAAGAAACAUCAUUCCAGAGAGUUAG
rnacentral:rRNA from 1 species